rnacentral:rRNA from 1 species
GACGAACGCUGGCGGCGUGCUUAACACAUGCAAGUCGAACGGCAGCACGGGCUUCGGUCUGGUGGCGAGUGGCGAACGGGUGAGUAAUGUAUCGGAACGUGCCCAGUAGCGGGGGAUAACUACUCGAAAGAGUAGCUGAUACCGCAUACGCCCUACGGGGGAAAGGGGGGGAUCGCAAGACCUCUCACUAUUGGAGCGGCCGAUAUCGGAUUAGCUAGUUGGUGGGGUAAAGGCCCACCAAGGCGACGAUCCGUAGCUGGUUUGAGAGGACGACCAGCCACACUGGGACUGAGACACGGCCCAGACUCCUACGGGAGGCAGCGGUGGGGAAUUUUGGACAAUGGGGGCAACCCUGAUCCAGCCAUCCCGCGUGUGCGAUGAAGGCCUUCGGGUUGUAAAGCACUUUUGGCAGGAAAGAAAUCGCACGGGCUAAUACCUCGUGUGGAUGACGGUACCUGCAGAAUAAGCACCGGCUAACUACGUGCCAGCCGCCGCUGUAA